rnacentral:rRNA from 1 species
GACGAACGCUGGCGGCGUGCUUAACACAUGCAAGUCGAACGGAAAGGCCCUGCUUGCAGGGUGCUCGAGUGGCGAACGGGUGAGUAACACGUGGGUGAUCUGCCCCUUACUUUGGGAUAAGCCUGGGAAACUGGGUCUAAUACUGGAUAGGACCAUGCUGUAUGUGGUGUGGUGGAAAGAUUAGUUUCGGUAAGGGAUGAGCUCGCGGCCUAUCAGCUUGUUGGUGGGGUAAUGGCCUACCAAGGCGUCGACGGGUAGCCGGCCUGAGAGGGUGGACGGCGACAUUGGGACUGGGAUACGGCCCAGAGUCGUACGGGGGGCAGCAGUGGGGAGUAUGGGACAAUGGGCGAAAGACUGAUGGAGCGAGGCGGCGUGGGGGAUGACGGUCUUCGGGUUGUAAACUCCUUUCAGCCAUGACGAAGCCCUUGUGGUGACGGUAGUGUUAGAAGAAGCACCGGCUAACUACGUG